CCGACUACAUAUCUCAUUGUUCUAGAUGUUCAUUUAGGGAGUCUUCAAUACUACACAACAUAUGUGGAAUUCAAAUUAUGCAUCGCCAGGUGUAGGAACAUGCACAAAGUUAUCAUGUUUGAGUUCCGCGUGUGCUCAAUCUAAGGGGUCGAGUGAGUUUGUUUGACCUAGGUCUCCGGUUGAUGUCUCUUGGGAGAAGGAGACUAGGAUCUAUGGAGGAGGAUGGGCAAUAGUUGGAACUACUAUGCACGGUGGUGGAAACUAUGGUCUAACACACUCCGCCUUAUCAUCGGAUGCGAAGGAGACCCAUGAAGCUCUUAAAUGGUCAGCGACGAUAGAUAGGAAGGAAGUCUUAAUCCUUACAGACUCGACACAACUAAUUGAUGAGCUCUCUUCAAAGACUGCAAAUAAUAUCCCUAUGGUUUGGACAAUUGCAGACUUUCACAAAAUGCACCUUCCUAAAGGUGGAUCGGAAGCAAGUCAAAACGGAACAUGAAAUCGUAACCAUGUGCAAUUUGGUCUUAAACUUCUUUUAGUAGUAGUAGUUUUUCGUUAACUUAGUUGUCUUUAGCCUUUGUCCAAAAAAAAAAGAGUUGGAUUUUUUUUUCAGACGGUCUCCCCAAAUAUUUUGAUCAAAUUAGUUAGUUUUUUUUACAUACACUACUAUAUUC